rnacentral:rRNA from 1 species
AACGAACGCUGGCGGCAGGCUUAACACAUGCAAGUCGAACGCCCCGCAAGGGGAGUGGCAGACGGGUGAGUAACGCGUGGGAAUCUACCUAGUUCUACGGAACAACAGAGGGAAACUUCUGCUAAUACCGUAUACGCCCUAAGGGGGAAAGAUUUAUCGGAAUUAGAUGAGCCCGCGUAAGAUUAGCUAGUUGGUGGGGUAAUGGCCUACCAAGGCGACGAUCUUUAGCUGGUCUGAGAGGAUGAUCAGCCACACUGGGACUGAGACACGGCCCAGACUCCUACGGGAGGCAGCAGUGGGGAAUAUUGGACAAUGGGCGCAAGCCUGAUCCAGCCAUGCCGCGUGAGUGAUGAAGGCCUUAGGGUUGUAAAGCUCUUUCAGUGGGGACGAUAAUGACGGUACCCACAGAAGAGGCCCCGGCUAACUUCGUGCCAGCCGCCGCAGUAAAAC